UGGGGAAUUUUGGACAAUGGGCGAAAGCCUGAUCCAGCCAUGCCGCGUGAGUGAAGAAGGCCUUCGGGUUGUAAAGCUCUUUCGGCGGGGACGAAAUGGCGCGGGGUAACAUCCCGCGUCGAUGACGGUACCCGAAGAAGAAGGACCGGCUAACUACGUGCCAGCAGCCGCGGUAAUACGUAGGGUCCAAGCGUUAAUCGGAAUUACUGGGCGUAAAGCGUGCGUAGGCGGUCUCGCAAGUCCGAUGUGAAAUCCCCGGGCUUAACCUGGGAACUGCGUUGGAAACUAUGAGGCUAGAGUGCGGCAGAGGGGGGUGGAAUUCCAGGUGUAGCAGUGAAAUGCGUAGAGAUCUGGAGGAACACCGAUGGCGAAGGCAGCCCCCUGGGCUAGCACUGACGCUCAUACACGAAAGCGUGGGGAGCAAACAGG
rnacentral:rRNA from 1 species